GUUGCGCACUGUUGCGGGCGAAGUGGUUUGAGUUGCGGCUCCACUCCGUCGUAGGCUGCCGCUGGUCAAGGGAUCACUUGGUCUACCCCAGGCCGAUGCACCGGAACCCUCCCUGGUUCCGUCUUUUGGGGCGGGACUUACAUGCGGCUCACAAAGCCAUGGAUCAGCGAUGCUGCUCCUCAUGCCCGUUGUCUUGUGGAUGACGGCUAGCACCGGCGAGUGCAGAGAUCAGCGUGCCUGGGUGAAUAAGGAAGAUGAAUUGGGCUGUAAGUUACUUUGUUUUCUCUGUCGGCGUUAUUCCCUUUAGUGUUAUCUCUGCCUCUCUGGUUCUCAACCUCCAACGACAUGCCCUUUUUUGUGCUGGCCAUGGAGGCUAGCAGCGGCAGGACUGCCAUGACUAGGCCGCGCAAUAUUUCUAACAGUGUUGAGCUACUCGUUCCCGACAGCUCCGGUGCCAAGCUGCCAAUAGAAGCUGAGCAGAUUUCAGGAUAUAGAAGGCAGCUUCAGGAAGGGCUCGCUGACGAGAGAAAUAAGUACUGAAGCAGGCUUCACCGAAGACUGCUGAUCUAGAAUUGUCUGUUGCUGAAAUAAGUCCAGGAGCGGUGGAGCAGGCAGAACAAUUUUCUGUUGAUUUUACUAAAUGGAUUGUCCCUGUAAUUUGACCAAACAUCAUGUCGCCGUGCCACUGAAGUUUUUGCACAGAAUUCUUGUCUUUUUGGGUGGUGCCAAGCUGUCUUUUUAUUGAACAAUGCCACAAUUGCAUAGUUGUAAGUUAUUUAGGAUUGUCUCUAUUGCAUACGACCUGGAGUUACAAGAGGUCCAGUACUAAUUUUGUGUAUGUAUGUACAUGUGCAGUCACCCAUUUUCUAUACACAUGAUUCCAAAGCAUCUUUUACUGUACAUUUUGUUUCUUUGCUCGGUACAAAAUGUAUUGCAAGUGUUGUUCAUUUUUUCC